rnacentral:rRNA from 1 species
GAUGAACGCUGGCGGCGUGCCUAAUACAUGCAAGUCGAGCGGUAACACUUCGGGUGACGAGCGGCGGACGGCUGAGUAGCGCGUAGGAACGUACCCCAAAGUGAGGGAUAACUGCUCGAAAGAGUAGCUAAUACCGCAUGUGCUCUACGGAGUAAAGCUUUAUGCGCUUUGGGAACGGCCUGCGUAUGAUUAGCUUGUUGGUGAGGUAAUGGCUCACCAAGGCGACGAUCAUUAGCUGGUCUGAGAGGAUGAUCAGCCAGACUGGGACUGAGACACGGCCCAGACUCCUACGGGAGGCAGCAGUAGGGAAUUUUCCACAAUGGGCGAAAGCCUGAUGGAGCAACGCCGCGUGCAGGAUGAAUGCCUUUGGGUUGUAAACUGCUUUUAUCUGUGACGAUUUUGACGGUAGCAGAUGAAUAAGGAUCGGCUAACUCCGUG